rnacentral:rRNA from 1 species
UUACGGUCAAAUCACGCUGAAACACCGGUUCUCGUUCAAUCACCGAAGUUAAGCAGCGUAGAGCCAGGUCAGUACUUAGAUGGGGGACCGCUUGGGAACACCUGGUACUGUAAG